rnacentral:rRNA from 1 species
AGUGAACGCUGGCGGUAGGCCUAACACAUGCAAGUCGAACGGCAGCACAGUAAGAGCUUGCUCUUACGGGUGGCGAGUGGCGGACGGGUGAGGAAUACAUCGGAAUCUACUUUUUCGUGGGGGAUAACGUAGGGAAACUUACGCUAAUACCGCAUACGACCUACGGGUGAAAGCAGGGGAUCUUCGGACCUUGCGCGAUAGAAUGAGCCGAUGUCGGAUUAGCUAGUUGGCAGGGUAAAGGCCCACCAAGGCGACGAUCCGUAGCUGGUCUGAGAGGAUGAUCAGCCACACUGGAACUGAGACACGGUCCAGACUCCUACGGGAGGCAGCAGUGGGGAAUAUUGGACAAUGGGCGCAAGCCUGAUCCAGCCAUACCGCGUGGGUGAAGAAGGCCUUCGGGUUGUAAAGCCCUUUUGUUGGGAAAGAAAAGCAGCAGGUUAAUCCCCCGCUGUUCUGACGGUACCCAAAGAAUAAGCACCGGCUAACUUCGUG